AUUGAACGCUGGCGGCAGGCUUAACACAUGCAAGUCGAGCGGGGGAAGGUAGCUUGCUACCGGACCUAGCGGCGGACGGGUGAGUAAUGGUUAGGAAUCUGCCUAUUAGUGGGGGACAACAUCUCGAAAGGGAUGCUAAUACCGCAUACGUCCUACGGGAGAAAGCAGGGGAUCUUCGGACCUUGCGCUAAUAGAUGAGCCUAAGUCGGAUUAGCUAGUUGGUGGGGUAAAGGCCUACCAAGGCGACGAUCUGUAGCGGGUCUGAGAGGAUGAUCCGCCACACUGGGACUGAGACACGGCCCAGACUCCUACGGGAGGCAGCAGUGGGGAAUAUUGGACAAUGGGGGGAACCCUGAUCCAGCCAUGCCGCGUGUGUGAAGAAGGCCUUAUGGUUGUAAAGCACUUUAAGCGAGGAGGAGGCUACUUUAGUUAAUACCUAGAGAUAGUGGACGUUACUCGCAGAAUAAGCACCGGCUAACUCUGUG
rnacentral:rRNA from 1 species